GUCUGUGUUAGUGUACCCUCUGGCUCACUAAAUACAUGUGUGUGUGUGUGUGUGCACGUGUUAGUGUAUCCCCUUGGCUCACUGAAUACAUGUGUGUGUGUGUCUUGUACCCCCCUUGGCUCACUGAAUACGUGUGUGUGUGUGUGUGUGUUAGUGUACCCCCUUGGCGCGCUGUGAAUACGUGUGUGUGUGUGUGUUAGUGUACCCCCUUGGCUAACGGUGACUAUGUGAUUGUGUGUGUGCAUGUGUGUGUUAGUGUGCCCCCUUGGCUAAGGUGAAUAUGUGUGUGUGCGCAUGUUGGUGUGCCUCCUUGGCUUGCUGUGUAUACGUGUGUGUGUGUGCCCCCUUGGCUAAGGUGAAUAUGUGAUUGUGUGUGUGCGUUGGUGUGCCUCCUUGGCUUGCUGUGUAUACGUGUGCGUGUGUGUGUGUUGGUGUGCCUCCUUGGCUUGUUUGAUAUGUGGUGUGUGCGCAUGUUGGUGUGCCUCCUUGGCUUGUUGUGUAUACGUGUGUGUGUGUGCCCCCUUGGCUAAGGUGACUAUGUGAUUGUGUGUGCGUUGGUGUUCCCUGCAUACAGCUACCGUUCAUCGAUGGCUCUUGCUAGCGUGAGCGGCUGGUAAGGUACGCGGCUUAAUGAACAGCAGCAGAUCCUUCAUAGC